rnacentral:rRNA from 1 species
UGCGUAGGCGGUUUUUUAAGUCAGAUGUGAAAUACCCGGGCUUAACCUGGGGGGUGCAUUUGAAACUGGGAGACUUGAGUGCAGGAGAGGAAAGUGGAAUUCCUAGUGUAGCGGUGAAAUGCGUAGAUAUUAGGAGGAACACCAGUGGCGAAGGCGACUUUCUGGACUGUAACUGACGCUGAGGCACGAAAGCGUGGGGAGCAAACAGGAUUAGAUACCCUGGUAGUCCACGCCGUAAACGAUGGAUACUAGGUGUAGGGAGCGAUAGCUCUCUGUGCCGCAGCAAACGCAAUAAGUAUCCCGCCUGGGGAGUACGAUCGCAAGGUUGAA